rnacentral:rRNA from 1 species
AGAGUUCGAUUCUGGCUCAGGAUUAACGCUGGCGGCAUGCCUAAUACAUGCAAGUCGAACGAGAGUAGCAAUACUCUAGUGGCGAACGGGUGAGUAACACGUAGGAAACCUACCUCAAAGACGAGGAUAACUACUGGAAACGGUAGCUAAAACUGGAUAGGAUAUACGAAGGCAUCUUAGUAUAUUUAAAAGUCCUUCUGGGAAUGCUAUGAGAUGGUCCUGCGGCGCAUUAGCUAGUUGGUGAGGUAAAGGCCCACCAAGGCGACGAUGCGUAGCUGUGCUGAGAGGCAAAACAGCCACACUGGGACUGAGACACGGCCCAGACUCCUACGGGAGGCAGCAGUAGGGAAUUUUCGGCAAUGGGCGAAAGCCUGACCGAGCAAUGCCGCGUGAAUGAAGAAAUUCUUCGGAAUGUAAAAUUCUGUGGUGAGGGAAGAAAGGUAUUAGAAGGAAAUGGCUAAUAUUUGACGGUACCUUACUAGAAAGCCCCGGCUAACUAUGUGCCAGCAGCCGCGGUAAUACAUAGGGGGCAAGCGUUAUCCGGAAUUAUUGGGCGUAAAGCGUGCGUAGGCGGCCACUUAAGUCUGUCGUGAAAGCCCACAGCUUAACUGUGGAGGGUCGAUGGAAACUGAGAGGCUUGAAUCUAGGAGAGGUAAGUGGAAUUCCAUGUGUAGCGGUAAAAUGCUUAGAUAUAUGGAGGAACACCAGUGGCGAAGGCGGCUUACUGGUCUAGAAUUGACGCUGAUGCACGAAAGCGUGGGUAGCAAACAGGAUUAGAUACCCUGGUAGUCCACGCCGUAAC